GAUGACACGACAACACUGAAGCACAAACCAGCCUAUCGCACCUAAAGUGUGGUGAUUCUAACUGGAAGAGCUGUAUCGUAUUUCUGGUGAAAGUCAACCCACGACUGACCUUCAGGGCUAUUUUAUCUUUCUUGAAGUACCUGAAGCCUUUGAGCACUUCGAAGCCACUGCCUGACAGAACAACCUGUGGCUAGGGCAGUAACUAAAAUACUGUCCAAAAUCCAGAAGUAAGAUCACAAUUAUAAUGGGAGCAAGUAAAAACAACACCUCUGAGCACACACAGAAGCAGCAACAAACAAGAGAAGCCCUGAAGGAAAGUCCUGAAGCUCACAGGUGGACACAGGAACACAAGGAGCACACGUGGGGGCUGCCUUCCUCACCUACUGAUGCAACAGAAACCUACAGCUUCGCAUCCCUGUGCUUUUUCAAUGCCUCUGCCACACUGAACCUCACCCUUUUUCCUGCUGCUCUGCACUUAUUCUGUAAACACACUUACAAACCCUGCGAUGAAUUAGUGAUUCCUCAUCCCACCCCCAGCCCGGGGCAGCCUAUAUAAGCAGAAGGAAGCUGGAGCUCAGAGCACCUUGAAGAACAGCACAGCAAGAGUGACCCAAAGAUAUCUCCAGAGCAGACUGGGGAGAAUUACCGUGGACGGAUAUCCCAGUCAGAGCUUAUACAAGUCAUUUUCCACUCUUUCUGUAUAACUUUGGAUCUGAAGAUGUCAAGUACUGUAAGCCAUAGGACAUAAACACCUAAAGACAUGAGAAUAUGGUUCCAGCAGAAUCUAUAG